UACGUAGGGUGCGAGCGUUGUCCGGAAUUAUUGGGCGUAAAGGGCUCGUAGGCGGUUUGUCGCGUCGGGAGUGAAAACUCAGGGCUUAACCCUGAGCCUGCUCCGAAUACGGGCAGACUAGAGGUAUGCAGGGGAGAACGGAAUUCCUGGUGUAGCGGUGAAAUGCGCAGAUAUCAGGAGGAACACCGGUGGCGAAGGCGGUUCUCUGGGCAUUACCUGACGCUGAGGAGCGAAAGUGUGGGGAGCGAACAGG
rnacentral:rRNA from 1 species